AGCCCUUGUAUCUAAGCACUGAACAUAAUCUUCAGGCAUCCCCAUGUACAAACUCACCACAUUUUUAACUGUUUUUACAGUGGAAUCUCUCCUCCAGACUUAUCAUAAGACAUCUUGCUUUAGCCAAAAGGGUGACCAGAACUCCAAGUUCAAAAUCAAAAUUAUGCCUAGAUUCUGGACACACUCUUCACAGUAGCAGAUAAACUAAAGCAAUUUUUCAAGUUGCUUUUCCACGGCUGUGGUGGUCAGUUUUUCAGUGGAAAAGAAAAAGAUCCCCAUUCCACUCUUAGAAUUCAAACACCAUUUCAGCAUUAGUAUGCCAUCGUUACAUAUUAUGUGUGUAUAAUUUGUAUGUGUGUGUAUCAAUAAUGUCUACAUAUCAAUAUAUAUAUAAACAUUAUACCCAGCCUUUGUUCUGCAAGCAUUCUCAGACAUGCUUAUUCAUUUACAAAGGCUGUCCAAAACAUGUUUUAUAUACAAACAACAUGACAAAAAGUAUUUCUAAGUUAAAGACAGUUCUAGUUACAUCAUGUUUUAUGCUAUAUAUUUAUCUAUGGGAACAAUUAACAUAUUCUCUCUCCUUUUUUGCCCCAAUAUAUUGAGAAAUUAAACACCAUGCCUUUAAAAGAAAUUAUAUUCUGAAAUAAAGGCUGAAUCUUGGAAGAAUGAUGCUUUUAAAAGAUAUUUCCCUCGAGUAUUCCAAAAAGUGACUCCCCCCUACUCCAUAGACACAGAAGCAAUACCAAAUAUCUCAUUUUAAAUGCUCUUAAAGCAAAGCUGUGUUGUGGAGCACUUUGGCAGUCUCAUGAAGCUUACAGACCCUAAGUCCAAUUUUUUUUUAAUGUUGAAUUUCAGUUUGAAGUUAAUGAAAAUAAUGAUGUGAUUUUCCAUUCCAAGUUUACUGAAAUCUCCCCCCUGACUUUUUAGAAGUCUGUGGAUCCCAGGACUCCUGGCUUAUAGCUAACUUACCAUAAAUGAACUGGUUCCACUGGCAAAUAUUUUUUUUUUACUACACACACACACACACACACACACACACACACACACACACAUAUAUAUAUAUAUAUCAAUAUAGCCAAGAGAAAAAAAUCUUAACUCUGAAAAUCCAACAAAUUUAAUUGAAUUUGUACUGUCACCCAUGAACUGCCAAACUGGAAAGACUAUUUCUUAAAAGAUUUACCAAAGUGUAAGAUGAUUUUUGCUGUAUUGUCAUCUUCUACAUAAACCUAAGUCACAGUAUCUCAGUAAAAUAAAUGUGCUCCUGUAAAUGUGUGGAUGAGGCAAGAGAGUACAGAGAGCUCUUCUCACCAUCUCCUACCAGAGUGGAAAAGGGAACAGACUUGGACUUUCAAUAUGAUUGGGCCAAAGGAGAAGUAGCUAAGUUCAGGUCAAGUUUAUAAGAAAAAUGUACAAGCAUAUGAGACAGAUGGGGGUGGGGGCAGGGCAUAUCUGUAUUACCAAUGAUUAAUGAAACUAACUAUAUAUUCAGAAUCACAAUAACACAAGCUAUAAGCUUGUUUUUUCAGAACUAAAGAAUAGAGAGCAAAAUUUUAAAAACCAUGGCGGCACUGUUAUUCACCCUAAAUUCUCCUUUAACCUAAUUUCUCAAAUAGAAACCCACAUUUCUCAAACUUUUGGAAAAGAAAAAUCUGUUUCUGGACAUCUCUUAAGACCAAAGUUUAAAAAAAAAAAAAAAAAAAAAGGAAAUGAAACAACUUAAGAUGUCUCCACUUCCUCCUACUCCCCAAACUAGUCCAUCUUAUAGACAAAGUUCCAUGACAACUUAAAAUGGAAAAAGAUAAGAAUCACAUUCUAAGAAGUUAAAUAUACUGAGCUUAAGGACAUUAAGUAAGCUAAAUACAUUAAACCUGAAUCGACUUUCAAAAAAAUUUCAUCAAAAUGGAUGACAUUUUUCAUUUGUUUUUUAAAUUAAAAUUAAUUUUAAAAAUUCACAAACAAUAGCAUAAUUAGUUGCAAAAUCAUUCUAGAGCAAGGAUUCAAUCAUUUUUGAUGUCCUGGAUCCUUUUACCAAGUCUAUGUACUCUUUUUCAGAAUGUUUUAAAAUGUACCACAUAAUUGACAUAGGCUUACAGAGGAAACCAAGUUUUUCUCCUAUUCAAAUUCAUACCCCCCACAAAUCUAUUCAUAAAUCCAUUUGGGAAGGAGAUGGUUCAUGGACUCCAGGUUAAGAAUCCAUAAUAAUUUUACUAUGCAAUUGUAAUUUAUUUGGGUUCAAGGUGGUAAUAUGUAAGCAAAUGAUCCUUCUAGGUAAGGAUUACGUGACUAUUUUCUCCCAGACAAUGUAAAAAUACCCACAAUGCCACACGUGGACAGAUACAGAAUUUCCUUUGAGAAUUUCAUGGGAGAAUAAAGCCAGAUACACUGUUUUUCAUUGAACUUCAAAUGGAUACAGUUGUUCUGUUGUAAAAUAAUUUCCAACCUGUUUCAAUCCUUUCACCAAAAGGUCAAGAAUCAGUCUGAGAAAAUUCCCUUGUAGCAUUUUCCUGUGGGGAUGGAGGAAUGGGAGCAGCUGUCAGACUAUUCAUCACAUAAUCAUUCUCUCUUCUUUGACCUUAUUUCCUUCAGUACUAGAAGAUACUUUUUUGGAAACUGAUGGAGCUCUCUAGGAUUGUAAAGGCAAUACCACAUCUUACACGUGUAUUUCUUCCACUCAUUAAUCACCAUUUGGUAAACCUCAACCACAGUGAUAGAUAAUCUUAGGCUCCAAUGUGACUGUUUCGGAGGACACACUUUCACCUCCCCCUUCAGAAUCUGGAUUUCUUUGCUGGUGUUACCUUCCUUCCCACUGGCCCUCUUAAGAAACCCCAAGUUAUCUCUACUGAGCACAAAAAUAUUUCUCAAUUGCUUUGAACACAGAAUUUUAGAGUUCUUUAAAGUGAAUCUUCAUCACAUGCUAGUCCAUUUAUGUCAUACCCAAUCAGGUGCCCAUCAGCUAUGGUUCAAUGGUCAUUAAAGGAUGGCUGUCAGUCACUUUAAUCUUCCAAUAUCACCAUGGCAGUUUUUCCAUUCCCUCUCCUACUUUGUUUGGUGGCUUGUCAAAUUUCUUCUCUUCCUUUCAUGUCACAGCUGUAACUCCAUACAUCCACCCACAUAAUCCACGAGUAGAUUCUCAAACUGUCAAAACUGCCAUUUUUUUGUUCAUGUGGGUUGCUAAAUAACCACGAUCCUCCUAGGUAUGGAUUAUGUUACUAUGUGCUCUUCAGAAACUGACUGUAGACCUUUCAAAAUGGCAUCUUCACCAGCUUUUGCAUUGAACGUGACACUGAAGGAGCUACUGUGCAGCUGGUGAAAAGCCCAAUGCCAUGCCUGGAGGCCACGACCAAUACUUCUGGACACUCAAAGCGGGAGUACUUAAUUUGCUCUGCUAUAAAAGGAGGACCUUGGCUACAUGACUUAUUCAGCUCCAUCAUGACUGAAAUUAAGGUAGACUGGCUCGGCUCUAAAUCUACUCUCUGUGAUCCUCACAAUUGAGAACAGUCAGUGCUGGUCAUCAAUGGCAAGUCAGUCAAUAAGCAUUUAAGCCCUUACUCUUUGCCAGGCACUGUGCUAAGUGCAGGGACAUAAAAAAAGGCAAUAAUAAUAAUAAUAUAUAUAUAUAUAUAUAUAUAUAUAUAUAUAUAUAUAUAUAUACACACACACACACCAUCCCUGCCUUCAAGGAAUGCUAAUGGGGAGACAAUAUGCAAACACACAAGAUACACAUUUGUUAUAAAUAAGAAGUAAUCUCAGACUGGGGACUACUGGAGCAGAACGUUGAAUACGCUAUCAAUUAGGCCAUUGUUUUAGAUAUUUUCUAUUAAUGCUUUUAAAUUAUGGGGAGAAAGGGAAAGGCAUUUCUCAAAAGGACUGAUAUUAAAAACAAAGGGCAUCAAUGUACCCU
ensembl:lncRNA